GUGGUGUUUGGAUUGUCUCUGCCGGCUGGCUCUGUGCUCGUCCACCGAACGGUCGGCAUGCUAUCCGUGUCCCUUGUUGUGAGGUGGGAUGGUGCCUCAGAGGCUGGUUCUUGUGUUGCCUACCCCUCAAGGGAAGAGGCCACUUGAAAGUUAGCCUCCAUCCGGUGCCUUCCAAUGGGCGCAGGAGGACAACGAAGCACCCCUCGUGUUCCACCGAGCCUUCAUCGGUCGCGUGGCCCACGGGGAAGUGCAAUGCUCUCGGACCCAGCGCACGCUGUGGACGUGGACUCGUUCCUCGUCCUAAGGGAAAGCUUCGACAUGAACAUAAGACGGCCGCUCUCGCCCCUUGACCGCCUCGGAGGUGCAAGGGCGACGCGCGACGUCGUGGAGGAUUGCUACCUGGUUGAUCCUGCCAGUAGUCAUAUGCUUGU
rnacentral:misc_RNA from 1 species